rnacentral:lncRNA from 1 species
CCAUUAUACCAAACAUAGUCUGAAAGAAAUUGAGAAUGAACCGACAAGGCAGGGGCGGUUUGGGGAGGGGAGGAGAUGUACUCUAGGCUUUUUGAGGAAGUGGAGUAUGCUCUCAGUCACAACACACCUAAGAAGGAUUUCUCCGACCAUCAUGUACCGUGCUUCACCAGUAACAACAAAUCGAAGAUGAUCAAGGGGCGAACAAUUUUAAUUACAAUUUAUCUGAAAAGGUCCGGGGCAAAGGAGUAGGAGAUUAAUACGGAGCACUGAGCAGGCAGGGAAGGUGAAGGGGGUAACGGAUAGUUAACGGGGUAUUAACGGGUGAAUAAAAUGGCUCACCGACGUUUAUGAAAGUCGUUGUUGCAGCAUUAUAGAUAUAA